UACGGAGGAUGCAAGCGUUAUCCGGAAUGAUUGGGCGUAAAGCGUCCGCAGGUGGCUGUGUAAGUCUGCUGUCAAAGAGCGAAGCUCAACUUCGUAAAGGCAGUGGAAACUACACGGCUAGAGUGCGUUCGGGGCAGAGGGAAUUCCUGGUGUAGCGGUGAAAUGCGUAGAGAUCAGGAAGAACACCGGUGGCGAAGGCGCUCUGCUAGGCCGCAACUGACACUGAGGGACGAAAGCUAGGGGAGCAAACAGG
rnacentral:rRNA from 1 species